rnacentral:misc_RNA from 1 species
GUGAGUCAUCGAAUCUUUGAACGCACAUUGCGCCCCUUGGUAUUCCGGGGGGCAUGCCUGUUCGAGCGUCAUUACAACCCUCAAGCUCUGCUUGGUAUUGGGCUCCGUCCGCGCGAGCGGACGCGCCUCAAAGACCUCGGCGGUGGCCCUGAGCCCUCAAGCGUAGUAGAAUACACCUCGCUUUGGAGCGGUUUGGAGUCGCCCGCCGGACGAACCUUCUGAACUUUUCUCAAGGUUGACCUCGGAUCAGGUAGGGAUACCCGCUGAACUUAAGCAUAUCAAUAAGCGGAGGA